AAUUGGAGUUCAACGUGUCACGUCUUCUAUUCAUUUAGGUCCUGGCCUAAGUGAAGGUCGCCAUAUCACCGGUGCAAAGACUAAAACCUCUGGAGAUUGGCAUGGUUUCCAUACAUACAAAAUGGACUGGUCACCUGAUCACGUUAUCCUGUAUGUUGAUGAUCAAAUGGUAACAAGAAUUGAUGUCCAUUCUAAUACUAACAUGUGGCAGCAUCUUGGUUUCCAUGGGAACAAUAUUUGGUCAAGUGGUUCACAUCUCGCACCUUUUGACCAGGAGUUCUAUAUGAUAUUGAAUGUGGCCAUCGGCGGAACAGGUGGCAUAUGGGGAGAACAAGGAGUUACCUAUGCAUAUCCUAAACCAUGGCAGAAUAAUGCUAAAGAUCCAAUGGCACAAUUUUGGUCAAACAGAAACCAUUGGUUACCAACUUGGCACGGAGAUGAUGUGGCCAUGAUCAUUGAUUAUGUUGAGUUUAGACAUAUGUAAUA